UGGGGAAUAUUGCGCAAUGGGCGAAAGCCUGACGCAGCAACGCCGCGUGAGUGAUGAAGGCCUUCGGGUCGUAAAGCUCUGUCGGAGGGAACGAAUGCUCCUGAAGUUAACAGCCUCAGGAGGUGACGGUACCCUCAAAGGAAGCACCGGCUAACUCUGUGCCAGCAGCCGCGGUAAUACGUAGGGUGCAAGCGUUAAUCGGAAUUACUGGGCGUAAAGCGUGCGCAGGCGGUUGUGUAAGUCAGAUGUGAAAUCCCCGGGCUCAACCCGGGAAUUGCAUUUGAGACUGCACGGCUAGAGUGUGUCAGAGGGGGGUAGAAUUCCACGUGUAGCAGUGAAAUGCGUAGAUAUGUGGAGGAAUACCGAUGGCGAAGGCAGCCCCCUGGGAUAACACUGACGCUCAUGCACGAAAGCGUGGGGAGCAAACAGGAUUAGAUACCCAGGUAGUCCCUGAGCGGGCUGGCAAGGCGCAU
rnacentral:rRNA from 1 species